GUUGUUUUUUUUUUCUUUUAACUAAAUUUUCUUGGACGAAUUCUAGGAGUACCGAGUUUUACGCAACAAGCCAACGUACUUUGAACAGGUAUUGUUCAACGCCGAUCAGAUUGUAAGGACUGAUCUCUCCCCAUUGUUCCUCCCACAUGUCCUACAAUGAUUGAAAAUUAUGUAAAGCUUCUGGCGACAAGUGGCCCAAAUUGGCGAAUCGUUCUCCCAGGAGCAUGAAGUCCUCGUAACUUAUCACGCCGUCCUUAUUUAC